CUUCGUGUGUUUUUGGUGGUUUUUGUACAUUUGAAGGAAAACAUGCCGAAGCACACGAACCA
rnacentral:pre_miRNA from 1 species